rnacentral:misc_RNA from 1 species
AGGAUACUGAAUCCAUUGAAAUUGGAUCCUUAGCAAGAACAGGGUGAGCAGUUGCUUUCCUUUUCCUGCGAGAACAGGGACACAAAAGACCACAGGUUAUGACAACAAUUCCAGCUGCUACUAAGCCGACAUGUUUGGGGGUUAAAGUUGUAGGAUUGUUCUUCUUCUCUUUUGGAGGAAUAUCCUGACCUCCAUGGAUUUUGGACUGUUCCCCGACCUCCUUUUGCAAAAGUUUUCUUCCUCCCUUGAGGGACAAGUUAGCUAAUAAGAGGUCCAACCCACGGUAGCUACAGCCAUCAUAACUCUCAAAGAUGCAACCAUUUGCAUAGUGGAAGUGGAGGAGCUUGCAAAAUGAAUCUUUGUCUACGGGACUUCCAUUAAUGUAAAACAAUUCUUGAUCAUCAAAAUUUGAAUAGACUAUGUGAUCGGUACCACAAACCUUUGAUUGUAUGUGCAACCCAAAGGCUAUUAUACUUGGAAAUUGCACCAAUAACAGAAGAGCCAAUGCAGAAACAGCCAUCAUCAAUGAAAUAAUGUGCUCCAUUUACAUCUUUGAGAAUUUAAACAUAAUGAAAACAUC